CCACUGUAGGAGUAGGGUACGUAUCAAGAUAGAAUCUAUCGAUCUUAAUAGAAAAGAGUAGUCCUAUAAAAUUUUGAGAGGCUAAGUUUGAGAGUCUUUUGCCACAACAGUAUGAUUGAUAAAAAAGAAUUUUCAUUAAGAUCACAAUUGGAUUUGAACUAAUCAAAUCUAUCAUAUGACUGAUGAUGAGAUUUAAUGGUUUAUCUAUGACCUGCCAU
rnacentral:lncRNA from 1 species